rnacentral:rRNA from 1 species
UUGACCCUCGGAUCAGGUAGGAAUACCCGCUGAACUUAAGCAUAUCAAUAAAGCGGAGGAA